rnacentral:rRNA from 1 species
CACGUAGUUAGCCGGUGCUUAUUCUUCAGGUACCGUCAUGAGUCCCGGGUAUUAGCCAGAACCUUUUCUUCCCUGACAAAAGCGGUUUACAACCCGAAGGCCUUCUUCCCGCACGCGGCAUGGCUGGAUCAGGCUUGCGCCCAUUGUCCAAAAUUCCCCACUGCUGCCUCCCGUAGGAGUCUGGGCCGUGUCUCAGUCCCAGUGUGGCUGGUCGUCCUCUCAGACCAGCUACAGAUCGUCGGCUUGGUGAGCCUUUACCUCACCAACUACCUAAUCUGAUAUCGGCCGCUCCAAUCGCGCGAGGUCUUGCGAUCCCCCGCUUUCACCCUCAGGUCGUAUGCGGUAUUAGCUGCUCUUUCGAGCAGUUAUCCCCCAGACUGGGCACGUUCCGAUACAUUACUCACCCGUUCGCCACUCGUCAGCUUAACCUGUUACCGUUCGACUUGCAUGUGUAAGGCAUGCCGCCAGCGUUCAAUCUGAGCCAGGAUCAAAACUCU